UAUUUCUCUCCUCUAAAGGGCGGAGAACCUGAUGUUUUGUGUCCACGCGUUUCUAUCUCUGCCGUUGCUGUGUUGAAUCGUUGCCCUUGGUUUUUUCUUCUCUGGACUGAUUUGGGGCGCUGGAGGCUGGACUAUUGUGGAACCCGCUGUGGGCCCAUACCACCCACCCCGCUCGCCCUCGUCGGCUCGUCCUCGGAGCAGACAGCGGGAGAACAGGCCAUGUCCGCGCUCCCCCUUCGAUGAGGCGGCGACCAGACCUCGCCGGAGAAGAAACCGAGGGCGGUGGCGGACAUGGGUGAGGCCUCCGUUGGUUGUUUUAGAGAGAAGAGCAGCGGCGGCAUCUAGGUGGCGGGAUUUGGAGAUGGCAGCGGCGUUCUUGAUCCAGGUGGUGCCGAUGGAGGGAUCUGGAGGGGCCCAGCACCGGAUCCGCUCGCCCAGCACCCGCUGAUUGUUGGCUUGGCUGGUUAGCGGGGGUGGAAUUCGGUCAUGGUAGGGGACCCUCUGAAAAAUUGAUUCGUUAUUUGGGCAGACGUAGACCUUUGUGCUGAUUCAAGGGACGAACAGCACAACGUGCCUGGAUGGAUGUCAUGGUUGCUGAAUCAGUUUUUGAUUAGAAAAUACUAAGAAGAAAAGUGCGCUCGUUCAUAUCAGUAGUCUUAGGAAUAGUUCCAGCAAGGAUAAGCUGCUUAUACAUUUUCCUGGAAGCUGCUACUUUUUAUGAGAAAAAAUCGGUAGUGAGCCUUCUGUUAAAAUCAUAUCCAGCAAUUGUUCCUAUCCCUUUUGCAAGACUACUGUUGUCUGUUUCAGUAUUUUGUGUGUUUCCCAUAGUUUUUUUAGUUAGCACACUAUUACUGUAGAGAUGUAUGAAACUAUGAAUUCUUUGAUUCCUAUGAACUAAUGAAUGAAUUGAGAUGAAUAUUUUUCCCUUUA